AGGCGACGACGGGUAGCCGGCCUGAGAGGGCGACCGGCCACACUGGGACUGAGACACGGCCCAGACUCCUACGGGAGGCAGCAGUGGGGAAUAUUGCACAAUGGGCGAAAGCCUGAUGCAGCGACGCCGCGUGAGGGAUGACGGCCUUCGGGUUGUAAACCUCUUUCAGCAGGGAAGAAGCGAAAGUGACGGUACCUGCAGAAGAAGCGCCGGCUAACUACGUGCCAGCAGCCGCGGUAAUACGUAGGGCGCGAGCGUUGUCCGGAAUUAUUGGGCGUAAAGAGCUCGUAGGCGGCUUGUCACGUCGGUUGUGAAAGCCCGGGGCUUAACCCCGGGUCUGCAGUCGAUACGGGCAGGCUAGAGUUCGGUAGGGGAGAUCGGAAUUCCUGGUGUAGCGGUGAAAUGCGCAGAUAUCAGGAGGAACACCGGUGGCGAAGGCGGAUCUCUGGGCCGAUACUGACGCUGAGGAGCGAAAGCGUGGGGAGCGAACAGGAUUAGAUACCCUGGUAGUCCACGCCGUAAACGGUGGGCACUAGGUGUGGGCGACAUUCCACGUCGUCCGUGCCGCAGCUAACGCAUUAAGUGCCCCGCCUGGGGAAGUACGGA
rnacentral:rRNA from 1 species